rnacentral:rRNA from 1 species
GAUGAACGCUAGCGAUAGGCCUAACACAUGCAAGUCGAGGGGCAGCAUAGAGUAGCAAUACUUUGAUGGCGACCGGCGCACGGGUGAGUAACACGUAUGCAACCUACCUACAUCAGGGGAAUAACCCGGAGAAAUUCGGACUAAUACCGCAUAAUACAGGGAUGCCGCAUGGCAAUAUUUGUUAAAGAUCGAUCGGAUGUAGAUGGGCAUGCGUUCCAUUAGCUAGUUGGUGAGGUAACGGCUCACCAAGGCAACGAUGGAUAGGGGAACUGAGAGGUUUGUCCCCCACACCGGAACUGAGACACGGACCAGACUCCUACGGGAGGCAGCAGUGAGGAAUAUUGGUCAAUGGACGAGAGUCUGAACCAGCCAAAUCGCGUGAAGGAAGACUGCCCUACGGGUUGUAAACUUCUUUUGUACAGGAAUAAAAGACAUUACGUGUAAUGUAUUGCAUGUACUGUACGAAUAAGCAUCGGCUAACUCCGUGCCAGCCGCCGCAGUAA